UACAGAGGUCUCAAGCGUUGUUCGGAUUCAUUGGGCGUAAAGGGUGCGUAGGCGGCAGUGCAAGUCAGGUGUGAAAUCCCAAGGCUCAACCUUGGAACUGCCUUUGAUACUGGGGAUCUCGAGUCCGGAAGAGGUUGGUGGAACUGCGAGUGUAGAGGUGAAAUUCGUAGAUAUUCGCAAGAACACCAGUGGCGAAGGCGGCCAACUGGUCCGGUACUGACGCUGAGGUGCGAAAGCGUGGGGAGCAAACAGG
rnacentral:rRNA from 1 species